GACGAACGCUGGCGGCGUGCUUAACACAUGCAAGUCGAACGGAAAGGCCCUGCUUUUGUGGGGUGCUCGAGUGGCGAACGGGUGAGUAACACGUGAGUAACCUGCCCUUGACUUUGGGAUAACUUCAGGAAACUGGGGCUAAUACCGGAUAGGAGCUCCUGCUGCAUGGUGGGGGUUGGAAAGUUUCGGCGGUGGGGGCUGGACUAGCGGCUUAUCAGCUUGUUGGUGGGGUAGUGGAUUACAAAGGCUUUGACGGGUAGCCGGCCUGGGAGGGUGGCCGGCCACAUUGGGACUGAGGUACGGACCAGACUCCUACGGGAGGCAGCAGUGGGGAAUAUUGCACAAUGGGCGGAAGCCUGAUGCAGCAACGCCGCGUGCGUGAUGACGGCCUUCGGGUUGUAAACCGCUUUCGCCUGUGACGAAGCGUGAGUGACGGUAAUGGGUAAAGAAGCACCGGCUAACUACGUG
rnacentral:rRNA from 1 species